rnacentral:ribozyme from 1 species
UGCAGAGCGAAAAAACCUACUAUCGCCGGAUAGCAGGUUUUUUUAAUGCAGGAAGACCGGUCGCAACCCCGG